UACGUAGGGUGCAAGCGUUAUCCGGAAUUAUUGGGCGUAAAGAGCUCGUAGGCGGUUUGUCGCGUCUGCUGUGAAAACUGGGGGCUCAACCCCCAGCCUGCAGUGGGUACGGGCAGACUAGAGUGCGGUAGGGGAGACUGGAAUUCCUGGUGUAGCGGUGGAAUGCGCAGAUAUCAGGAGGAACACCGGUGGCGAAGGCGGGUCUCUGGGCCGAUACUGACGCUGAGGAGCGAAAGCGUGGGGAGCGAACAGG
rnacentral:rRNA from 1 species